rnacentral:rRNA from 1 species
UUUGAUCCUGGCUCAGGAUGAACGCUAGCGGCAGGCUUAACACAUGCAAGUCGAGGGGUAGCAGGAUUUAGUUUACUAGAUUGCUGACGACCGGCGCACGGGUGAGUAACGCGUAUACAAUUUGCCUUUUACUGGAGGAUAGCCAAGAGAAAUUUUGAUUAAUACUCCAUAGUAUUAUUUGAUCACCUGGUCGAGUAAUUAAAGCUCCGGCGGUAAAAGAUGAGUAUGCGUUCUAUUAGCUAGAUGGUAAGGUAACGGCUUACCAUGGCGACGAUAGAUAGGGGUCCUGAGAGGGAGAUCCCCCACACUGGUACUGAGACACGGACCAGACUCCUACGGGAGGCAGCAGUGAGGAAUAUUGGGCAAUGGAGGCAACUCUGACCCAGCCAUGCCGCGUGCAGGAAGACGGCCCUAUGGGUUGUAAACUGCUUUUAUACAGGAAGAAACUUAUCCACGUGUGGAUAACUGACGGUACUGUAAGAAUAAGGACCGGCUAACUCCGUGCCAGCAGCCGCGGUAA